ensembl:lncRNA
GUUUAUAAUGGGUGUGUAUGGGACGGAAUGUUGGGGCUAGAGUGAGACAGCUCAACUGCUAGAGUGAGAGGAGUGAAAAAAUUAAUCUUAAAAUAUUUUUUAAAACUGCUGCUGUGUCCGCAGCGUUUGGUCUACAGGUAUGAUUUUACCCUCAAAACGUAGCCAUCGCUGUCCUCUUUCAUCCAAUGUGUUUACUAUUGUACUAGGUGUUAUGGUUCUUUCAUAAAUGUCACCAAAGCACAGCCUCCUCCCUCCAACUCCUCCAUAGACUCUAAUGUUAAAAUGGCUCAGAAGGUUCGUUUGAAAACCAGAAGUACAG